AUCAUUUUGGUUUUAAUUGUUUCUUAUUUUCCAGGGUGAUUCUGAUAGUUUUAGGGUCCGAUUGAUGACCUACAAAGGAAUACAAGGAAUGAAGAGGAACAUGAUUAAGAAAGAACAAACAGAAAAAAAAAUGAUAAAAUAUGAAUGAAGAGGAAUGAGUGUAGAGGAAAAAUAGAACACAUGUUACUGUAAAUGAUAACCAAAACAUAGAACAAAUAGUAACAAAAAGUA
rnacentral:sRNA from 1 species